rnacentral:rRNA from 1 species
UCGUCAGCUCGUGUCGUGAGAUGUUGGGUUAAGUCCCGCAACGAGCGCAACCCUUGCCAUUAGUUGCUACAUUCAGUUGAGCACUCUAAUGGGACUGCCGGUGACAAACCGGAGGAAGGUGGGGAUGACGUCAAGUCCUCAUGGCCCUUAUAGGUGGGGCUACACACGUCAUACAAUGGCUGGUACAAAGGGUUGCCAACCCGCGAGGGGGAGCUAAUCCCAUAAAGCCAGUCGUAGUCCGGGUCGCAGUCUGCAACUCGACUGCGUGAAGUCGGAAUCGCUAGUAAUCGUGGAUCAGAAUGUCACGGUGAAUACGUUCCCGGGUCUUGUACACACCGCCCGUCACACCAUGGGAGCGGGUCUCGCCAGAAGUAGGUAGCCUAACCGUAAGGAGGGCGCUUACCACGGCGGGGUUCGUGACUGGGGUGAAGUCGU